UGAGACAUAGAGAACGAAGACAGGCCAAAGAGAUCAGCACCGGAAUCUGACAGAAAGAGCAGUGAGCACGCAAGAGAAGCAAGUGCAAUGAUAUGCAAAUUGCCUUUGUGUGCUCACUCUCUUCUGUCAGUUUCUUUGCGUUUCUCUUGUCCCAACUCUUUCAUUCACAAUUAGUCCAACUUCAGAGAUCUACAAGAUGAAACAAAGAAAACAAGAAACGAUGAGAAUCUUUUAAGCUUUGUGUUAGAUCUGAGUUUUAACUGGAGAAGACAAAGAA
rnacentral:sRNA from 1 species